rnacentral:rRNA from 1 species
UUGAACGCUGGCGGAAUGCUUUACACAUGCAAGUCGAGCGGCAGCGCGGGGCAACCUGGCGGCGAGCGGCGAACGGGUGAGUAAUAUAUCGGAACGUACCCUGUCGUGGGGGAUAACACAUCGAAAGAUGUGCUAAUACCGCAUACGACCUGAGGGUGAAAGGGGGGGAUCGCAAGACCUCUCGCAGUUGGAGCGGCCGAUGGCGGAUUAGCUAGUUGGUGGGGUAAAGGCCUACCAAGGCGACGAUCCGUAGCUGGUCUGAGAGGACGACCAGCCACACUGGAACUGAGACACGGUCCAGACUCCUACGGGAGGCAGCAGUGGGGAAUUUUGGACAAUGGGGGCAACCCUGAUCCAGCCAUUCCGCGUGAGUGAAGAAGGCCUUCGGGUUGUAAAGCUCUUUCGGCAGGAACGAAACGGUGGAGGCUAAUACCUUUCAUCAAUGACGGUACCUGAAGAAGAAGCACCGGCUAACUACGU